GUGGUGUAAAAAUUUUCAUUCCUGUUAUUUUCUUAACAAUCCAUCAAGGCUGGAAUUACUUGUUGCACCUGAGGGAAGAGAAAAGUAGUUUAGAAAAGCCAAAUUGACGCUCAGACGUGAGUCCAGCUCUCUCACAUCGAGCUGGUUUCUCCCCCACUGGGACGUACAGACCCACUUUACAGAUGGGGAUGUUGGGGCUUAAUGAGAUUAAAGGACUUUCCUGAAGAUCAGAGCUAGAGUGAUCCCAUAAUGAUGCAAGUGAGUGCCAGCCUUGUGCCAGACAUUGUGUGGUCAUGUAUGGAUGUGAGAAUUGGAGUAUAAUGAAAGCUGAGCGCCAGAAAAAUUGAUGUUUUUGAACUGUGGUGUUGGAGAAGACUCUUGAGACUCCCUUGGACUGCAAGGAGAUCCAACCAGUCCAUCCUAAAGGAAAUCAGUCCCGAAUAUUCAUUGGAAGGACUGAUACUGAAGCUGAAAUUCCAAUACUUUGGUCCCUGAUGGGAAGAACUGACUCACUGGAAAAGACCCUGAUGCUGGGAAAGAUUGAAGGCGGGAGGAGAAGGGGAUGAGGAUGAGAUGGUUGAAAGGCAUCACUGACUUAACGGACAUGAAUUUGAGUAAACUCUGGGAGUUGGUGAUGGACAGGGAAGCCUGGUGUGCUGCAACCCAUGGGGUCACAGAAUUGGACAUGACUGAGUGACUGAACUGAACUUGAAUCCUGUCUUCUCUUGCUCCCAUACUCCAUUCGUAUCCUCUUUCCCAUCUAUCCCAUUUUCCUCUCUCAAUGGCAUUUGUCUGUCAAUUGUCUUAUAAAUCACAGUGUCUUAGGACUCAGUGGUGUUUCAGAGUCACCAGGAGCAGCAGUACGGACUCUUCAUUUUAUACAUAGGAAAUUUGAAACUGACUUCAUUGCCCAGCAGGUCAGUUGCAGCCUCAGGAUUGGGUCUCUUGAUCUCAGAUGACACUGUCUCCAGUACUCAAGUGGGAAUUAAUCUCUGCUAAAGGCUUGAGACAUUACCAUCACCCCAAGACUCUUGAAGAAGAAAGAAUAUAAUCAUAAAGGAAAAAAGAGAAAAAAAUCCAGCCAACCUUGAGCUCUCUUGAAAAAUCUUUGAACUGUGGAUUUUACAUUAAGCUACAUCUUG
ensembl:lncRNA